CCCACGGGAAUUGUUUAUAUUCAAAGCAGGCUGAAAGUUGUUUCAACUGUGAUGGCUAAAAGAUUGGAGGACAAAUAAACAUUUAUGUUGUCCAGAUUUCUUUGGAAAACCCUUU
rfam:Oryctolagus cuniculus clone LB1-192J7, complete sequence.